CGUAGGGGGCCAGCGUUGUCCGGACUUACUGGGCGUAAGGCGCGCGCAGGUGGAUGAGUAUGUGCCGUGUGAAAGCGCCGUCCUUACGAUGGUGAGGUCAUGGUAGACAGCUUAUCUUGAGGCUCGAAGAGGUUGAUGGAAUUCCGGGUGGAGCGGUGAAAUGCGUAGAUAUCCGGAGGAACACCAGGGGCGAAAGCGGUCAACUGGUCGAGUUCUGACACUGAGGCGCGACGGCGUGGGGAGCAAACCGGAUUAGAUACCCGGGUAGUCCACGCAGUAAACGAUGCACACCCGGUGUGGGGGCAGGAUUUCCUCCUGUCUCCGUGCCCAAGGUUACCUGAUGAGUGUGCCGCCUGGGGACUACGAGCGCAAGCUUA
rnacentral:rRNA from 1 species